GAGAAAGUGGAGCAAUCCAUGAGUACAGCGGCGUACGGGUGAGUACACGUGGGUCACCUACCUCUUAGUGGGGAAUAACCCUGGGAAACCGGGGCUAAUACCGAUAAGCCUGAGAAGGGAAAGCAGAAUGCGCUGAGAGAGGAGCCCGCGGUGAUUAGCUAGUUGGUGAGGUAAAGGCCCACCAAGGCAUAGAUCGGUAGCCGGCCUGAGAGGGCACACGGCCACACUGGCACUGAAACACGGGCCAGACUCCUACGGGAGGCAGCAGUGGGGAAUCUUGCACAAUGGGGGAAACCCUGAUGCAGCGACGCCGCGUGAGCGAUGAAGCCCUUCGGGGUGUAAAGCUCUUUCGGCAGGGAAGAUGAUGACGGUACCUGCAGAAGCAGCUGCGGCUAACUACGUGCCAGCAGCCGCGGUAAUACGUAGGCAGCGAGCGUUGUUCGGAGUUACUGGGCGUAAAGGGUGUGUAGGCGGUUCUUUAAGUUUGGUGUGAAAUCUCCCGGCUCAACUGGGAGGGUGCGCCGAAUACUGAGGGACUAGAGUACGGGAGAGGAAAGUGGAAUUCCUGGUGUAGCGGUGAAAUGCGUAGAUAUCAGGAGGAACACCGGUGGUGUAGACGGCUUUCUGGACCGUAACUGACGCUGAGACACGAAAGCGUGGGUAGCAAACAGGAUUAGAUACCCUGGUAGUCCACGCCUAACGAUGCAUAUUGGUGUGGG
rnacentral:rRNA from 1 species